UACGGGGGGAGCAAGCGUUGUUCGGAUUUACUGGGCGUAAAGGGCGCGUAGGCGGUCGUGACAAGUCACUUGUGAAAUCUCCGGGCUUAACCCGGAGCGGCCAAGUGAUACUGUUGUGCUAGAGUGCAGAAGGGGCAACUGGAAUUCUCGGUGUAGCGGUGAAAUGCGUAGAUAUCGAGGGGAACACCUGCGGCGAAGGCGGGUUGCUGGGCUGACACUGACGCUGAGGCGCGAAAGCCAGGGGAGCGAACGGG
rnacentral:rRNA from 1 species